GCUGGCGUAGGAAUGUGGAUGCACUGAGA
rnacentral:piRNA from 1 species